AACGAACGCUGGCGGCAGGCCUAACACAUGCAAGUCGAACGCCCCGCAAGGGGAGUGGCAGACGGGUGAGUAACACGUGGGAACCUUCCCUAUAGUACGGAAUAGCCCAGGGAAACUUGGAGUAAUACCGUAUACGCCCGAAAGGGGAAAGAAUUUCGCUAUAGGAUGGGCCCGCGUAGGAUUAGCUAGUUGGUGAGGUAAUGGCUCACCAAGGCGACGAACCUUAGCUGGUUUGAGAGAACGACCAGCCACACUGGGACCGAGACGCGGCCCAGACUCCUACGGGAGGCAGCAGUGGGGAAUAUUGGACAAUGGGCGCAAGCCUGAUCCAGCCAUGCCGCGUGAGUGAUGAAGGCCUUAGGGUUGUAAAGCUCUUUUGCCGGGGACGAUAAUGACGGUACCCGGAGAAUAAGUCCCGGCCAACUUCGUGCCAGCCGCCGCAGUAACAC
rnacentral:rRNA from 1 species